AUUUUAAGGCCAGAUUUUCUUAGUUCCCUAUUGGCAGCAGAGUAUGCCAGUUGAAUGGUCUUUACUUUGCCAAAUUGCAAAAAGGCAGCUUCAUCAUGCUACCUCCAAACUAAAUCUUUCCCGUUCUUCAGAAUCUCUGAAUCUCAAGCUGUUUGUUCCAGGUUGUCUGUGAUUUUCUAUUUAUAGGGUACCAACACACCAAACCUGAUAUCAUCUUCAAGUUGGAACAAGGAGAAGAGCUGUGUAUGGUGCAGGCCCAAGUUCCAAAUCAGACCUGUCCAAUUUUGAAGGCUGGAAAGUCCAAAGCCAAGGUGCUGGCAGGUUUGGUGUCUGGUGAGGGCCUGCUCUGUGCUUCCAAGAUGACGCCUUGUUGCUGCAUCCUCUGGAGACACAGUCUGGAAAAUUGAUGAUCUUAUGGAUUGGCAUCAGGAAAAUAAAGACAAACUGGGAAGUAUGGCAAAAAGCUUUGAAUGCACUACAUUUGGAAAACUAUGUCUUCUUAGUACAAAGUAUCUUUCAAGACAAAAACCUCGUAAAUGUGGCACGCAUGGAAAG
rnacentral:sRNA from 1 species